AUUGAACGCUGGCGGCAGGCUUAACACAUGCAAGUCGAGCGGGGUGAUGGUGCUUGCACUAUCACUUAGCGGCGGACGGGUGAGUAAUGCUUAGGAAUCUGCCUAUUAGUGGGGGACAACACCUCGAAAGGGAUGCUAAUACCGCAUACGUCCUGCGGGAGAAAGCAGGGGAUCACUUGUGACCUUGCGCUAAUAGAUGAGCCUAAGUCGGAUUAGCUAGUUGGUGGGGUAAAGGCCUACCAAGGCGACGAUCUGUAGCGGGUCUGAGAGGAUGAUCCGCCACACUGGGACUGAGACACGGCCCAGACUCCUACGGGAGGCAGCAGUGGGGAAUAUUGGACAAUGGGGGGAACCCUGAUCCAGCCAUGCCGCGUGUGUGAAGAAGGCCUUAUGGUUGUAAAGCACUUUAAGCGAGGAGGAGGCUCUUUUGGUUAAUACCCAAGAUGAGUGGACGUUACUCGCAGAAUAAGCACCGGCUAACUCUGUGCCAGCCGCCGUAGUAA
rnacentral:rRNA from 1 species